UGUGCGCGUCCAACUCACUCCAACUCACCACUGACCCGUUCCAGUUCCUAAUCCUACCUAAUAUACCUUUCCCUAGUCAGUUAGUUACAGUGGUUGGGUUAGGUUAGUUUAAAUGGGUUGAGUUCCAGUUCCUAUCCCGUAGCUUCCCUAUAAUCCCAAUCUCAGUUUCAGUUUCUCCUCUUUUCCCUCUUAUGUAACUUUGCAUAGAAUCAGAGACGGGUGGAUAUGAAUUCAUCAAAUCCAGAUGUAUAGGCAUAUUAAGCUUCUGGUGCAUUGGUUAACACCACUAUCCUCAUGGGUUAAUCUUAAUUUUGGCAUUGCGUUUGGCUCGAUAACUAAUAUAGCUGGUAUUAGUUUAAUUUUGAGAAAUGAUGGAAGGAAUUCUUCAUGGCGUCGUGAGCAGUAAUGAAGUUUGUGCUUCAACUACUAAACAAGCUGAAGUGUUGGCUCUUUCUUGACGCCGGUAUUUGAUUGCCGCAACUUCAUAGUUGGGACUUUCUCAAAUCGUGAUGGAGGGAGAUUGUAAAAUGUGAUCAAUGCUUUCUCUUAUCUUAUGUAUGUGUUAAGCCGAGAUGAUCUCACCAUUAUCUCGGAUUGUAGAAGGUAUAUUCGUUUUGUGGGUGUUGUAGUGUGUUUGUAUGUGCGGCCUUAUUUUUGGCACUGUGGUCCUCGUAUUCUGGAAUUUCUAUUUGAUUUAAUGUAAGAAAACGUAUUAUAUAUAAAAUUAUUCAGUAUUAUUAUGGAA